GCUUCACGUAAGAUUUCUGCGGCGUUGUAAGUUCGUUGGGAUAAAGAAACGCAAGAUAAACGUAGCCGGAAGGAUUCUAUUGUGAAAACCUCUUGUUUGAUGUCCAAGGAUCAAUCUAGCUGUAAGAUAAAAUAGACACAAACUGAUGAGCAGCUCACACCACCUUCAAACUUAUUGAGCUUUCCUGAGCUCCAUAUCUGAUAGUUCGAGAGGCAUUCGCAUCAUGGGAUCGCCUCCCCACGAUUUGCAAGACGUGAUGGACCGACUGUCUUGGUGCCCCCUGGACCCUUUCCUUACAUCGGUGUUUCUUUCUCUUGUGCAAUGCGGCAGCUCAUACCUAACAUUAGAGACUAUAUCAAUGCAUCCUUUGAUGUAGGGAACAUCAGGAAACUACACUAAAGCAAGACUUGUACGACAUGCUCCGUCUGGGUGAGGCUUUGCUUCGUCAGUGCUCAAGAAGAAUCUCUACCUGUCCAAGUAUACGAAUAAAUCAAUUUCAUGCCAACAAUCCAUUGCUGCCUGCAGCUGAGACCGGUGCCUUUUCCUUUCUGAGGACAGAGAGUCUGCAGCAGUGUGCGCAGAGCAUAUUGAGAGCUUUGUUGCAGCCACAAUCAGUUUCACUGAUGCUCAUGACCCUUGAGCAGCUGUCCAAAGAAGGUGUGCACAUGCACAUGCCAUUAUAUGCAGUUUUCGCUGUCUCAACAUGUACCAAGCUUUGUGAACGCUGUGGGCACUCGGUGUUGCGCAGCCUUGCAGAUCCUGCAGAACAUUCUCCAGCAGACGGCAGUGCAGCGGGAAGCAACAAUCAGCUGCGAGGGCGAUGGUCGGGGCGUCACUGAGGACGAGCAGUGUGCCGCACUGAAAA
rnacentral:lncRNA from 1 species